GUCCAAGUAAUUUAACCAAAAUACUGGCCUUGUAAACCAAUAAUGAAGGAUCAAUCCUUCCUAGGACA
rnacentral:tRNA from 1 species